UAAUACGGAGGAUGCAAGCGUUAUCCGGAUUCAUUGGGUUUAAAGGGUGCGUAGGCGGGUUGAUAAGUCAGUGGUGAAAGCCUGCAGCUUAACUGCAGAAUUGCCAUUGAUACUGUCAAUCUUGAGUACAAAUGAUGUGGGCGGAAUAUGACAUGUAGCGGUGAAAUGCUUAGAUAUGUCAUAGAACACCGAUUGCGAAGGCAGCUCACAAAACUGUAACUGACGCUGAGGCACGAAAGCGUGGGGAUCAAACAGGAUUAGAUACCCUGGUAGUCCACGCCUUAAACGUUGAUAACUCGAUGUUAGCGAUAUACUGUUAGCGUCUAAGCGAAAGCGUUAAGUUAUCCACCUGGGGAGUACGCCCGCAAGGGU
rnacentral:rRNA from 1 species